rnacentral:lncRNA from 1 species
UCUCUCUUAGGGAAAACCAGCACCAAAGUUCUAGAGUCUGGACGUCUGAGAUCAGGGUGCCAGCACUGUCGAGGUCACAGACUGCAGACCUCCUUGUAUCUUCAAAUGGAGGAAAGAGGACAAGAGAGCUCCUGUGGUCACUUUUAUCAAGAUGAAUGCAUAAGGAAAAUGCUGUACAUUUGCACAUUGGAGUACACUUCAGCCAUAAAAAGAAUGAGAUGCUGUCAUUUGCAACAACAGUUGAAGCCUAGUCAAGAAGAGGGCUCUGAGAAGCUUGACUAAAGUUUCAUGAAGAGAGUCUCUGUCAGUGGUGGGUCUUUGAUUCUCAAGGAAGCUGUCAGAAGCUUCAUCUAACUUCUCUUCCACUCUACUUUCUUCUGGGGAAGAAGUGACCCAACAAUUUGAUCUAAUAUUUGCCUGAUAAUAUUGAACAUCCUUGCAUCCGUUAAAGUUUACUGUUCUAAGACUUA